GAUGAACGCUGGCGGUAUGCUUAACACAUGCAAGUCGAACGGACUCUUCGGAGUUAGUGGCGGACGGGUGAGUAACGCGUGAGAAUCUGGCUUUGGGUUCGGGACAACCACUGGAAACGGUGGCUAAUACCGGAUGUGCCGAGAGGUAAAAGAGAAAUUGCCUGAAGAUGAGCUCGCCUCUGAUUAGCUAGUUGGUGAGGUAAGUGCUCACCAAGGCAGCGAUCAGUAGCUGGUCUGAGGGGAUGACCAGCCACACUGGGAGUGAGACACGGCCCAGACUCCUACGGGAGGCAGCAGUGGUGAAGUUUCCGAGAUGGGCGAAAGACUGACGGAGCAAUACCGCGUGAGGGAAGAAGGCUCUUGGGUUGUAAAACUCUUUUCUUAGGGAAGAACAAAAUGACGGUACCUAAGGAAUAAGCAUCGGCUAACUCCGUG
rnacentral:rRNA from 1 species